AAAAGGAAAAGGGAGGAAGAGACAUUAUGAAUCAUUCGAAUUCGAUGGAAAUCAAUAUUCUCACCUAAGUUUCGCAAGAAAUCAAAUUACUAAGAAACGUUACGAAACUUACGAGAGAAUAUUGAUUGCCAUCGAAUUCGAAUGAUUCGUAAUGUCUCUUCCUCCCUCUUCCUUUU
rnacentral:pre_miRNA from 1 species